AACGAACGCUGGCGGCAUGCCUAACACAUGCAAGUCGAACGAGACCUUCGGGUCUAGUGGCGCACGGGUGCGUAACGCGUGGGAACCUGCCCUUAUGUUCGGAAUAACUCCCCGAAAGGGGUUCUAAUACCGGAUAAUGUCUUCGGACCAAAGAUUUAUCGCCUUUGGAUGGGCCCGCGUUGGAUUAGCUAGUUGGUAGGGUAAAAGCCUACCAAGGCGACGAUCCAUAGCUGGUCUGAGAGGAUGAUCAGCCACACUGGGACUGAGACACGGCCCAGACUCCUACGGGAGGCAGCAGUGGGGAAUAUUGGACAAUGGGCGAAAGCCUGAUCCAGCAAUGCCGCGUGAGUGAUGAAGGCCUUAGGGUUGUAAAGCUCUUUUACCCGGGAUGAUAAUGACAGUACCGGGAGAAUAAGCUCCGGCUAACUCCGUG
rnacentral:rRNA from 1 species